UACAGAGGUCUCAAGCGUGGUUCGGAUUUAUUGGGCGUAAAGGGUGCGCAGGCGGUAUGGUAAGUUUGGUGUGAAAUCCUGGGGCUUAACCCCAGAAUUGCACUGAAUACUGCCGUGCUAGAGGACUGGAGAGGAGAUUAGAAUUCACGGUGUAGCAGUGAAAUGCGUAGAUAUCGUGAGGAAGACCAGUGGCGAAGGCGAAUCUCUGGACAGUUCCUGACGCUCAUGCACGAAGGCCAGGGGAGCAAACGGG
rnacentral:rRNA from 1 species